rnacentral:lncRNA from 1 species
UAUUUUUAUUUAAAAGAGGGGUAUUUUAGGAAUAUUUGAAUGUUAAUGGGGGCAAAAUGGGAACUCCAAAGAAUAAGAGAUUGAUUCCCACCUCCCUAUGAGAAUCAAUCUCUCAUUCCCCAUUCCCAAAUAGUGGUGGGGCUCACUAUUCUGAUUUUGAUUCCUGUUUCAUUUUUGUGAAGUAAACAUCGUCAAUCAUUCCGAUUUCAGAUUUUGAUUCUCCAAUCCGAAAAAUAAACGCACCAUAAAUUAUCAGGGCAUUGGUGGUUAAUUUUGAAAGCCAACAAAGUGGUGUUACUUUUCUUAAGGAAUAGGGACUAUAGGGAUUUCUCAAAUACUUUGGAGCAUAGAUCUCCACAUGUUCCUUGAAUAACAAGAACUCUUUUGACUACAAGAAUAUCUACGCUUGAAGAGAGUGGGAACCACCAAGGUGACCCACGAUAUACUAGGUUUUCGGGUCUCUCUCUCUCUCUCUCUCUCUCUCUCUCUGAAAGUAACUCAAGUUGUCUCUUAGUAUUGAUGUGAGAGGGCCUCCACUAAUUCACACUAUGGACCAACAGGCUUUCUUUGACUCAGCAGCCCCCUCUUCAAGCAAGCCCAAACGAUUACCUGUCCAUAAGAGGGACAUUAGCUUAAGAGUCGAGCUAUUGGCACCCCUGCAUUAUUCUUACAAAAUCCCCCUUUAAAUAAAAUUACAAUUAA